rnacentral:rRNA from 1 species
GAUGAACGCUAGCGGCAGGCCUAAUACAUGCAAGUCGAACGGUGUCUUCGGACAUAGUGGCGCACGGGUGCGUAACACGUAUGCAACCUACCUUACAUGGGGGGAUAGCCUUUCGAAAGGGAGAUUAAUACCGCAUAAGACAGUAGCUGGGCAUCCAGCAGCUGUUAAAGAUUUAUCGCUGUAAGCUGGGCAUGCGUCCAAUUAGCUAGUGGGUGAGGUAACGGCUCACCAAGGCAAUGAUUGGUAGGGGAACUGAGAGGUCAAUCCCCCACACUGGCACUGGGAUACGGGCCAGACUCCUACGGGAGGCAGCAGUAGGGAAUAUUGGGCAAUGGACGCAAGUCUGACCCAGCCAUGCCGCGUGCAGGAUGAAGGCGUUAUGCGUUGUAAACUGCUUUUAUACAGGAAGAAACGACUCUUGCGAGAGGCAUUGACGGUACUGUAUGAAUAAGCACCGGCUAACUCCGUGCCAGCCGCCGCCGUAAAAC